rnacentral:rRNA from 1 species
AUUGAACGCUGGCGGCAGGCCUAACACAUGCAAGUCGAGCGGCAGCGGGAAAGUAGCUUGCUACUUUUGCCGGCGAGCGGCGGACGGGUGAGUAAUGCCUGGGGAUCUGCCCAGUCGAGGGGGAUAACAGUUGGAAACGACUGCUAAUACCGCAUACGCCAUACGGGGGAAAGGAGGGGACCUUCGGGCCGUUCGCGAUUGGAUGACCCCAGGUGGGAUUAGCUAGUUGGGGGGGUAAUGGCUCACCAAGGCGACGAUCCCUAGCUGGUCUGAGAGGAUGAUCAGCCACAAUGGAACUGAGACACGGUCCGGACUCCUACGGGAGGCAGCAGCGGGGAAUAUUGCACAAUGGGGGAAACCCUGAUGCAGCCAUGCCGCGUGUGUGAAGAAGGCCUUCGGGUUGUAAAGCACUUUCAGCGAGGAGGAAAGGUUGGUAGCUAAUAACUGCCAGCUGUGACGUUACUCGCAGAAGAAGCACCGGCUAACUCCGUGCCAGCCGCCGCCGUAA